rnacentral:rRNA from 1 species
GCUCCUACGGGGCGCAGCAGUGGGGAAUAUUGGGCAAUGGGCGCAAGCCUGACCCAGCAACGCCGCGUGAGUGAUGACGGCCUUCGGGUUGUAAAGCUCUGUCUUCAGGGACGAUAAUGACGGUACCUGAGGAGGAAGCCACGGCUAACUACGUGCCAGCAGCCGCGGUAAUACGUAGGUGGCGAGCGUUGUCCGGAUUUACUGGGCGUAAAGGGAGCGUAGGCGGACUUUUAAGUGAGAUGUGAAAUACUCGGGCUCAACUUGAGUGCUGCAUUUCAAACUGGAAGUCUAGAGUGCAGGAGAGG